CCGCACGCGUCGGGAGAGCGCGCUGGCCGCUGAAAACCGCAGGCCGCGCCGCCGAAGGGGCACACCCGCAAACUCUCAGGCAAAAGGACCGACCGCGUCGAA
rfam:Paraburkholderia terricola strain LMG 20594 genome assembly, contig: Ga0075244_1005